rnacentral:lncRNA from 12 species
AACAUUGGGAGUGCUGGCUCAACAAAGCCAUUUUAGUUUCUUAGUUCUUGAACCAGGAGACUUUGGAGAAGACAUGAAGCACCUUCCUCAGGAUCCUCCUGAGCAAGAAGAUGGGAGGCAGCCAUACAGAUUUGAGGACAGCAGGAGCGAUAAGUGACAGUGGUUCCUGAAGUUGAGGAAGGGAUGAAAUGACUUCUGCGGGGCCAUACCAGUCACCUAAGUAUUGAUCCUGUGAAAAGUAAGCAUAUAUAAAUCUGUACUGAGGCUCUAGAAACUUCUCCUGUCUGGCUGUAGAGAGAUUGACCACCUGCUCUUGAGCCGUCUCAGUUCUGGCUGCUGCUAGGGGUUUGGCUGGUGCCUGUGACCUUGGGAGGGGUCCCCAGGGUGCAUUCAGGAAACACCACAUUGAGUAAUGGAAGUCUCCAUCAGAGUCCAUGAUAGAUCUGUUUUCAGCUGCUCCCUGUUGGGGUGUGAUUGAUUCCCGGGGAGCCUGUAUCCCUUUUCUGACUUAUUGAGUGUGGGUGAUGGAUUUUUGACAAGAUUGAUUUUGACCUGAAUACUGCUGAGCUAAAUGAAUCAACACUGUCAAUUUCUCUGCCUGGUUCUAAAGAAUAGUUAGGUGGAUAAGGACAUUUUUCU